rnacentral:rRNA from 1 species
GCGUGAGGGAUGACGGCCUUCGGGUUGUAAACCUCUUUUAGCAGGGAAGAAGCGUAAGUGACGGUACCUGCAGAAAAAGCGCCGGCUAACUACGUGCCAGCAGCCGCGGUAAUACGUAGGGCGCAAGCGUUAUCCGGAAUUAUUGGGCGUAAAGAGCUCGUAGGCGGUUUGUCGCGUCUGCUGUGAAAACCCGAGGCUCAACCUCGGGCCUGCAGUGGGUACGGGCAGACUAGAGUGCGGUAGGGGAGAUUGGAAUUCCUGGUGUAGCGGUGGAAUGCGCAGAUAUCAGGAGGAACACCGAUGGCGAAGGCAGAUCUCUGGGCCGUUACUGACGCUGAGGAGCGAAAGGGUGGGGAGCAAACAGGCUUAGAUACCCUGGUAGUCCACCCCGUAAACGUUGGGAACUAGUUG